GAUGAACGCUGGCGGCGUGCCUAACACAUGCAAGUCGAGCGAACAGACGAGGAGCUCUCGCCUCUGACGGUAGCGGCGGACGGGUGAGUAACACGUGGAUAACCUACCUAUAAGACUGGGAUAACUUCGGGAAACCUGAUCCGAUACCGGAUCAUAUAUCGAACGGGAGGGAUCAAUAGUGCAAGACGGCUUGGCUGUUCCUUAUAGAUGAUUCCGCGCCGGAUUAGCUAGUUGGUAAGGUAACGGCUAACCAAGGCGACGAUGCGUAGCUGACCUGAGAGGAUGAUCAGCCACACUGGAACUGAGACACGGUCCAGACUCCUACGGGAGGCAGCAGUAGGGAAUCUUGCACAAUGGGCGAAAGCCUGACCGAGCCACGCCGCGUGAGUGAAGAAGGUCUUCGGAUCGUAAAGCUCUUUUAUUAGGGAAGAACAACUGUGUGAGAAUCCAUGCACGUCUUGACGGUACCUAAACAGAAAGCCCCGGCUAACUUCGUG
rnacentral:rRNA from 1 species